rnacentral:rRNA from 1 species
AUUGAACGCUGGCGGCAGGCCUAACACAUGCAAGUCGAGCGAGCGGCGGACGGGUGAGUAAUGUCUGGGAAACUGCCUGAUGGAGGGGGAUAACUACUGGAAACGGUAGCUAAUACCGCAUAACAUCAGAUGUGCCCAGAUGGGAUUAGCUAGUAGGUGGGGUAACGGCUCAACUAGGCGACGAUCCCUAGCUGGUCUGAGAGGAUGACCAGCCACACUGGAACUGAGACACGGUCCAGACUCCUACGGGAGGCAGCAGUGGGGAAUAUUGCACAAUGGGCGCAAGCCUGAUGCAGCCAUGCCGCGUGUGUGAAGAAGGCCUUCGGGUUGUAAAGCACUUUCAGCGGGGAGGCGUUACCCGCAGAAGAAGCACCGGCUAACUCCGUGCCAGCAGCCGCGGUAAUUC